rnacentral:rRNA from 1 species
CAGCAGCCGCGGUAAUUCCAGCUCCAAUAGCGUAUAUUAAAGUUGUUGUGGUUAAAAAGCUCGUAGUUGAACCUUGGGCCUGGCUGGCCGGUCCGCCUCACCGCGUGUACUGGUCCGGCCGGGCCUUUCCCUCUGUGGAACCCCAUGCCCUUCACUGGGUGUGGCGGGGAAACAGGACUUUUACUGUGAAAAAAUUAGAGUGCUCCAGGCAGGCCUAUGCUCGAAUACAUUAGCAUGGAAUAAUAGAAUAGGACGUGUGGUUCUAUUUUGUUGGUUUCUAGGACCGCCGUAAUGAUUAAUAGGGACAGUCGGGGGCAUCAGUAUUCAAUUGUCAGAGGUGAAAUUCUUGGAUUUAUUGAAGACUAACUACUGCGAAAGCAUUUGCCAAGGAUGUUUUCAUUAAUCAGGAACGAAAGUUAGGGGAUCGAAGACGAUCAGAUACCGUCGUAGUCUUAACCAUAAACUAUGCCGACUAGGGAUCGGACGGUGUUAUAUUUUGACCCGUUCGGCACCUUACGAGAAAUCAAAGUGCUUGGGCUCCAGGGGGAGUAUGGUCGCAAGGCUGAAACUUAAAGAAAUUGACGGAAGGGCACCACCAGGGGUGGAGCCUGCGGCUUAAUUUGACUCAACACGGGGAAACUCACCAGGUCCAGACACAAUGAGGAUUGACAGAUUGAGAGCUCUUUCUUGAUUUUGUGGGUGGUGGUGCAUGGCCGUUCUUAGUUGGUGGAGUGAUUUGUCUGCUUAAUUGCGAUAACGAACGAGACCUUAACCUGCUAAAUAGCCCGUAUUGCUUUGGCAGUACGCUGGCUUCUUAGAGGGACUAUCCGCUCAAGCCGAUGGAAGUUUGAGGCAAUAACAGGUCUGUGAUGC